GAUGAACGCUGGCGGCGUGCCUAAUACAUGCAAGUCGAGCGAACAGACGAGGAGCUUGCUCCUCUGACGUUAGCGGCGGACGGGUGAGUAACACGUGGAUAACCUACCUAUAAGACUGGGAUAACUUCGGGAAACCGGAGCUAAUACCGGAUAACAUUUUGAACCGCAUGGUUCAACAGUGAAAGACGGUCUUGCUGUCACUUAUAGAUGGAUCCGCGCUGCAUUAGCUAGUUGGUAAGGUAACGGCUUACCAAGGCAACGAUGCGUAGCCGACCUGAGAGGGUGAUCGGCCACACUGGAACUGAGACACGGUCCAGACUCCUACGGGAGGCAGCAGUAGGGAAUCUUCCGCAAUGGGCGAAAGCCUGACGGAGCAACGCCGCGUGAGUGAAGAAGGUCUUCGGAUCGUAAAACUCUGUUAUUAGGGAAGAACAAAUGUGUAAGUAACUAUGCACGUCUUGACGGUACCUAAUCAGAAAGCCACGGCUAACUACGUG
rnacentral:rRNA from 1 species